GCUUCUGUAGCUCAGUGGAAUAGAGCGAUCGCACGAGUGAGCGAUAGGUCACAGGUUCGAGUCCUGUCGGGGGCA